rnacentral:rRNA from 1 species
AGGCUUAACACAUGCAAGUCGAGGGGCAGCAUUAAAGUUUGCUUGCAAACUUUAGAUGGCGACCGGCGCACGGGUGAGUAACACGUAUCCAACCUGCCGAUAACUCGGGGAUAGCCUUUCGAAAGAAAGAUUAAUACCCGAUGGCAUAUUUUCACCGCAUGGUGAAACUAUUAAAGAAUUUCGGUUAUCGAUGGGGAUGCGUUCCAUUAGGCAGUUGGUGAGGUAACGGCUCACCAAACCUUCGAUGGAUAGGGGUUCUGAGAGGAAGGUCCCCCACAUUGGAACUGAGACACGGUCCAAACUCCUACGGGAGGCAGCAGUGAGGAAUAUUGGUCAAUGGGCGCGAGCCUGAACCAGCCAAGUAGCGUGAAGGAUGACGGCCCUAUGGGUUGUAAACUUCUUUUAUAUGGGAAUAAAGUUUGGUAUGUAUACCAUUUUGUAUGUACCAUAUGAAUAAGGAUCGGCUAACUCCGUGCCAGCAGCC